rnacentral:rRNA from 1 species
CAGUCGAGGGGCAGCGGGGAGCGAAGCUUGCUUUGCUCCGCCGGCGACCGGCGCACGGGUGAGUAACGCGUAUGCAACCUGCCCGUUUCAGCGGGAUAACCCGGAGAAAUCCGGCCUAAUACCGCAUGUGGCCGAGGGGAGGCAUCUUCUUUCGGCCAAAGGAGGCAACUCCGGAGACGGAUGGGCAUGCGUGACAUUAGCUUGUUGGCGGGGUAACGGCCCACCAAGGCGACGAUGUCUAGGGGUUCUGAGAGGAAGGUCCCCCACACUGGUACUGAGACACGGACCAGACUCCUACGGGAGGCAGCAGUGAGGAAUAUUGGUCAAUGGGCGAGAGCCUGAACCAGCCAAGUCGCGUGAAGGAUGACGGCCCUACGGGUUGUAAACUUCUUUUGUCAGGGAGCAAUUGAGUCCACGUGUGGGCUUAGCGAGAGUACCUGAAGAAAAAGCAUCGGCUAACUCCGUGCCAGCAGCCGCGGUAAUACGGAGGAUGCGAGCGUUAUCCGGAUUUAUUGGGUUUAAAGGGUGCGUAGGCGAGCUUUUAAGUCAGCGGUAAAAAUUCGGGGCUCAACCCCGUCCGGCCGUUGAAACUGGCAGCCUUGAGUGAGCGAGAAGUAUGCGGAAUGCGUGGUGUAGCGGUGAAAUGCAUAGAUAUCACGCAGAACUCCGAUUGCGAAGGCAGCAUACCGGCGCUCAACUGACGCUCAGGCACGAAAGCGUGGGUAUCGAACAGGCUUAGAUACCCUGGUAGUCCACGCAGUAAACGGUGAAUGCUCACUGUCCGGGCCGUUUAAGGCCUGGGU